rnacentral:rRNA from 1 species
AUUGAACGCUGGCGGCAGGCCUAACACAUGCAAGUCGAACGAGUGGCGGACGGGUGAGUAAUGUCUGGGAAACUGCCCGAGGGAGGGGGAUAACUACUGGACACGGUAGCUAAUACCACAUAGCAUCGGAUGGGCCCAGAUGGGAGGAGCUAGGAGGUGGGGUAAUGGCUCACCUAGGCGACGAUCCCUAGCUGGUCUGAGAGGAUGAACAGCCACACUGGAACUGAGACACGGUCCAGACUCCUACGGGAGGCAGCAGUGGGGAAUAUUGCACAAUGGGCGCAAGCCUGAUGCAGCCAUGCCGCGUGUGUGAAGAAGGCCUUCGGGUUGUAAAGUACUUUCAGCGGGGAGGCGUUACCCGCAGAAGAAGCACCGGCUAACUCCGUGCCAGCCGCCGCGGUAAUUC